rnacentral:Y_RNA from 1 species
GGCUGGUCUGAGGCCAGUGGUGUCUACAAAUAACUGAUCACGACCUGUUGGUUAAUAGAUUCCUUUGUUCCUCACACUGCUUCACUUGACAAGCCUAAA